UACAGAGGGUGCAAGCGUUAAUCGGAAUUACUGGGCGUAAAGCGUGCGCAGGCGGUUUUGUAAGUCUGUCGUGAAAUCCCCGGGCUCAACCUGGGAAUUGCGAUGGAGACUGCAAGGCUAGAAUCUGGCAGAGGGGGGUAGAAUUCCACGUGUAGCAGUGAAAUGCGUAGAGAUGUGGAGGAACACCGAUGGCGAAGGCAGCCCCCUGGGUCAAGAUUGACGCUCAUGCACGAAAGCGUGGGGAGCAACAGG
rnacentral:rRNA from 1 species